CUGGAAACUCACCUGUUCGGUCCAUGGUGGCGUCAGAUGUGAAGAACCUAGAGAAGACACCUCUCUCUCUUGCUGUGGCCACCAGUGAAGGUGGUCACACGGGUCAGCUGCAGCCAGCAGAAGCCCCGACCCCAGGGCAGAGACUGCACUGAGCCGAGAUUGCACCACUGCACUGCAGCCUGGGUGACAGAGCAAGAUUCCACCUCAAAAAAACAAAACAAAACAAAUCUGACUCCCCCUAAUAAAAACACUCCAGUAGCCUCUACAAGCUCUUCAGUAGCUAUCCAGAACCCUUCACUCCAACCAGGGGCUCUGUCCCCAGGGGACACACCAGCCUCACUACUGCCACCUGGAGCACUCCAAGGCCAGCUCCUCCUCAGCCUUCAGGGCUGUUGGAAGUCUCAGGCUCUCCCUGCCGCCCAGUUCAAUGAGUCCCUUUUAAGGUUUCAUCUCACCACCACCCCUUCUUCCUAUAGCAUCCAAACCUGGCAAGAUUCUGAUUAGCAGCCGGGCGUCUCACUGCCUGGAAUGCAGGCGCCUGGGGUCCGCGCCUCAGCUGUUCUGCUGCCAAUGGAACACACCAGGUGCUCAGCAAAAGCCCUGAGACCACCGGGGCUAGACUUGGGAACAGGAGCAACAACUCUCACACCUGCAGGCCCGGGGGCUACCGCACCACCUGUUCAGGGGACAGCCCGAUCGAGGGUGUGGCUUCCCUCCAACAGGGCUGGCUGGGAGCCAGCGUUCUCAUUAACCCUCACCGUGCUCACUGCCCUGACACCGGAGGGAAGCCGGGCAGAGGCCAUGGAGCUGCCAGGCUGUUGGAGCCAACCCAACCACCCAGUGGCCCAACUCCGGGUCAGGAAACAGCCACUGUCCUGAGGGCUGUGCCCAGAGGAAGGAACAGACAGUAUAUUGCUGCGUGAUUUUAUUACUAUAAAUAUACAGUAAAAACAAAUGGGCCCAUCUGAGCACAUCAAAUGGCA